rnacentral:tRNA from 1 species
GCCGAAAUAGCACAACUGGUAGUGCAACUGAUUUGUAAUCAGUAGGUUGUUGGUUCAAGUCCAAUUUUCGGCACCA